ACUCUCCCGCACCAUGCAGCAAUAAACAUCCAUCGCCCUUUUUAAAAAUUCAUUUCUUCGGGUUUUCAUCAUAAGUGUAAACAUCCAUUCUUAAAAUGAUCCCUCCUCCCGUAUAAACAGGUGGAUAUGAACACUAUGAAAUUGGGAUCAUGCUGUACAGAGUAUCAUAAACGGGCAUUUUGUUACAAUUAUAAGAGGCAGGCAUCUUCUGGUGUCGUAUAUAGAUUGGACCAUAGUGGCACAUGUCCUGGUUGUAUGGCUCUGCUCCUUAUUUAUUUAUUUUUUUUUAGAGAUUUUAUUUAUUUAUUCAUGAGAGAUACACAGAGAGAGAGACAGGCAGAGGCACAGGCAGAGGGAGAGGCAGGCUCCAUGCAGGGAGCCGGACGUGGGACUCGAUCCCCGGUCUCCAGGAUCACACCCUGGGCUGCAGGCGGCGCUAAACCACUACUCCACCAGGGCUGCACGGCUCUAUUCUUUAAUCUGGCUCCUGUUCUCAGGUAAAUUACUUAAGGGUAGGACUAUCCCUUUGGGGACUCAAGGGGACUCAAUCCCCUUGAAGGCCCAUUUGCUCUAGAACACUGUGGUAAUUAUGUGUCAUUUAAAAUAUUUGAUUAAAAGCACUUCGCUGACAUUCUGUCCAACCUCCUCUGUUAACCAAGUUCAUAUUACAGUGUCCUCAAAAACAAUAAAGCUGACAUAAAGCACUUAUCUAAUGAGUAUUCCAAUUAGCCCUAUACUAACUUUGUUUUAUUCCUACUUAGCCAGAGUGGGUGUUCCUGGAUAGGCACCAGUCUGAAAAAGUUGAAUCCUGGAGAGGAGGUGACCUGCCUAAGGUCUUACAAUUCAGUUAUGGCUGAUGAACAUAUCUUGAACAUCUAUCACCCACAGGACUCCAAAUAUGAAUAUUGCUGUCCAGAUGCUGCCAGCUUUUAUCACGUGACAUUAAAACCAGAUAUCUGAGCCAGACUUAUCAAGUUUUAACCUUCUACAAAACUGCACAAAGCCAUGGAACGAGGACCAGCCACUAGCGUGGCCUUUAGGUCGGAACGAAGAGUAGAGCAUCUGUGACAGAAUGAAAAUGAAUGGAACAUGAAUCAUCUGAAAGCACUGCUCGGCCUCAGAUGAACUCUAAUAGUAUUGACUCACUAACCUAUAUUCUCCUCUGCUUACUCCAUUAGCUCGCUUCGGUGACAUGGCAUGUUAAAUAACCAAGAUCCUCGAUAUAAACCACUUCAUUUAAAA